rnacentral:rRNA from 1 species
GACGAACGCUGGCGGCGUGCUUAACACAUGCAAGUCGAACGGAAAGGCCCUGCUUUUGUGGGGUGCUCGAGUGGCGAACGGGUGAGUAACACGUGAGUAACCUGCCCUUGACUUUGGGAUAACUUCAGGAAACUGGGGCUAAUACCGGAUAGGAGCUCCUGCUGCAUGGUGGGGGUUGGAAAGUUUCGGCGGUUGGGGAUGGACUCGUGGCUUAUCAGCUUGUUGGUGGGGUAGUGGCUUACCAAGGCUUUGACGGGUAGCCGGCCUGAGAGGGUGACCGGCCACAUUGGGACUGAGAUACGGCCCAGACUCCUACGGGAGGCAGCAGUGGGGAAUAUUGCACAAUGGGCGGAAGCCUGAUGCAGCAACGCCGCGUGCGGGAUGACGGCCUUCGGGUUGUAAACCGCUUUCGCCUGUGACGAAGCGUGAGUGACGGUAAUGGGUAAAGAAGCACCGGCUAACUACGUGCCAGCAGCCGCGGUGAUACGUAGGGUGCGAGCGUUGUCCGGAUUUAUUGGGCGUAAAGGGCUCGUAGGUGGUUGAUCGCGUCGGAAGUGUAAUCUUGGGGCUUAACCCUGAGCGUGCUUUCGAUACGGGUUGACUUGAGGAAGGUAGGGGAGAAUGGAAUUCCUGGUGGAGCGGUGGAAUGCGCAGAUAUCAGGAGGAACACCAGUGGCGAAGGCGGUUCUCUGGGCCUUUCCUGACGCUGAGGAGCAAAAGCGUGGGGAGCGAACAGGCUUAGAUACCCUGGUAGUCCACGCUGUAAACGGUGGGUACUAGGUGUGGGGUCCAUUCCACGGGUUCCGUGCCGUAGCUAACGCUUUAAGUACCCCGCCUGGGGAGUACGGCCGCAAGGCUAAAACUCAAAGGAAUUGACGGGGCCCCGCACAAGCGGCGGAGCAUGCGGAUUAAUUCGAUGCAACGCGUAGAACCUUACCUGGGUUUGACAUGGAUCGGGAGUGCUCAGAGAUGGGUGUGCCUCUUUUGGGGUCGGUUCACAGGUGGUGCAUGGCUGUCGUCAGCUCGUGUCGUGAGAUGUUGGGUUAAGUCCCGCAACGAGCGCAACCCUUGUUCACUGUUGCCAGCACGUUAUGGUGGGGACUCAGUGGAGACCGCCGGGGUCAACUCGGAGGAAGGUGGGGAUGACGUCAAGUCAUCAUGCCCCUUAUGUCCAGGGCUUCACGCAUGCUACAAUGGCUGGUACAGAGAGUGGCGAGCCUGUGAGGGUGAGCGAAUCUCGGAAAGCCGGUCUCAGUUCGGAUUGGGGUCUGCAACUCGACCUCAUGAAGUCGGAGUCGCUAGUAAUCGCAGAUCAGCAACGCUGCGGUGAAUACGUUCCCGGGGCU